GGGGCCGCCCCGCACGCCCGGGGCGUCCCAACGUCUCAUUGCGAGACGGGGCGCACCCAGAGCGUACACGCUGGGACCCGAAAGAUGGUGAACUAUGCCUGGUCAGGACGAAGUCAGGGGAAACCCUGAUGGAGGUCCGUAGCGAUUCUGACGUGCAAAUCGAUCGUCGGAACUGGGUAUAGGGGCGAAAGACCGAUCGAACCUUCUAGUAGCUGGUUCCCUCCGAAGUUUCCCUCAGGAUAGCUGGCGCUCACAGAGUCUCAUCUGGUAAAGCGAAUGAUUAGAGGCAUUGGGGUCGAAACGGCCUCAACCUAUUCUCAAACUUUAAAUGGGUGAGAUCUCCGGCUUGC
rnacentral:rRNA from 1 species